rfam:Ictidomys tridecemlineatus contig092300, whole genome shotgun sequence.
UGUGGUGUAGCUCAGUGGUAGAGAGCUUGCCUAGCAUGUACAAAACCUGGAGUUUGAUCCCCAGCACUACAU